UUGGCCUUGACAUACUAAGAACUUUCCAGAGAUGGAUUGGUGCCUUCGGGAACUUAGAUACAGGUGCUGCAUGGCUGUCGUCAGCUCGUGUCGUGAGAUGUUGGGUUAAGUCCGCAACGAGCGCAACCCUUUUCCUUAUUUGCCAGCGGGUAAUGCCGGGAACUUUAAGGAUACUGCCAGUGACAAACUGGAGGAAGGCGGGGACGACGUCAAGUCAUCAUGGCCCUUACGGCCAGGGCUACACACGUGCUACAAUGGUCGGUACAAAGGGUUGCUACCUCGCGAGAGGAUGCUAAUCUCAAAAAGCCGAUCGUAGUCCGGAUCGCAGUCUGCAACUCGACUGCGUGAAGUCGGAAUCGCUAGUAAUCGCGGAUCAGAAUGCCGCGGUGAAUACGUUCCCGGGCCUUGUACACACCGCCCGUCACACCAUGGGAGUUUGUUGCACCAGAAGUAGGUAGUCUAACCGCAAGGAGGACGCUUACCACGGUGUGGCCGAUGACUGGGUGAAGUCGUAACAAGGUAAGCGUAGAUGA
rnacentral:rRNA from 1 species